rnacentral:sRNA from 1 species
UUUUCAACUGCAAUAGCGUCAGCUAGAGCUUCUAGGUGGGCCGAUUUCAGGAUAGUUUCCAUGUUGGUAAUCUCCUUGGAUGGAUUUUCAUUGGAUUGCUCGGAGACUACCUCCAGAGCCUUUUCAAGCAGUUCCUGAUCCUGUUUAAGGGAAAGGGUCUGCUCAGGGGUAAGCUCGGAGAGAGCUUGAUUCAGGUCAGCCGAUUUAUAAACCGACUUAAGAAUGGACAUAGACUCGACCCGCUGGUCGAUCCAGUCUUUGUGAUCUAGUUCUGGAUACUCCGUUCUGCCAUAUCCCAUGGCAACAGAGAGAACUUCGGCAUCUUCAUAAUACAUCCCGAAGAACUUACGAAGGAACUCAGGGAACUGCAUUGUGACUGUAACUUCAGCAGCUUUAUCGAUAAGCUCUUCAGUUACGCCAUUGGUAGCUUUUGUGAUUAGAGUAGUGUGCCCGUUGGCUGCACCACCUUGGAGCUUACUGACCAGAGCGACAUGAGCACCUUCGUGUUCAAACUUGAUAUCGGUCAGUUUACGUUUUGCUUUUACGGUCAUUCGAUAUCCUCGACUGUAGCUCUGGCACCGAUAGAGACGCCUGUGAAUUC